GUGAUCGAUGCCGAAGCAGUCGAGGCACGUGGAUGUGGACCACGGAGAAGCGGGUGCGAGUCCCGUCGAUCACCCCA
rnacentral:tRNA from 1 species